AUUGAACGCUGGCGGCAGGCCUAACACAUGCAAGUCGAACGGUAACAGGAAGACGCUUGCUUCUUUGCUGACGAGUGGCGGACGGGUGAGUCAUGUCUGGGAAACUGCCUGAUGGAGGGGGAUAACUACUGGAAACGGUAGCUAAUACCGCAUAACGUCGCAAGACCAAAGAGGGGGACCUUCGGGCCUCUUGCCAUCGGAUGUGCCCAGAUGGGAUUAGCUAGUAGGUGGGGUAACGGCUCACCUAGUCGACGAUCCCUAGCUGGUCUGAGAGGAUGACCAGCCACACUGGAACUGGAACACGGUCCAGACUCCUACGGGAGGCAGCAGUGGGGAAUAUUGCACAAUGGGCGCAAGCCUGAUGCAGCCAUGCCGCGUGUAUGAAGAAGGCCUUCGGGUUGUAAAGUACUUUCAGCGGGGAGGAAGGGAGUAAAGUUAAUACCUUUGCUCAUUGACGUUACCCGCAGAAGAAGCACCGGCUAACUCCGUG
rnacentral:rRNA from 1 species